UUAGCGCGCAGCGUCACAAAUGCGGACAAAAACAAAAAACCAACAACAAACAAAAGCCAUCCAGACAGGAACUGAGGCUGGAUUCUCAAGUUCUUAGGAGUUCACCGGAAGAAUCCACCUUUGCAAGGAUCCUACAGAGAAGAGGGAUAGCUAAAUACAAUUGCUUCAGCCCCGACGAGCACACUGCGUUCCCCCUGUCACUCCACAGGAGAACUGUGUGUGCUGGAACCCACAGAGACUAGCCAAGCCUCUCUUCACGGCCAGAACAUCCUGGCCACACAGAUCAUCUGACCAGAGUCCUAUCCCAGGGACCGACAGUUGCCUUGGACUGUGAGCCGAACAAACCCUUUCCUCCUUAAGCUGCUCUUGCCGGGGCAUUUUAUCACCACAACAGGAAAGGACACUAAGCUAGGUGCACCUUACAAACCAAAGGGAGAUGCCAGUCUGAAUCAACCACAGAACAUACAUGUCAUAAGGAAAAUCACGAAUUCAUCUGAGGGGAUUCUGCAAGUAAAGGAAUUGGGAACUAAAUGAUUCCCAAAUGAUUAAUGAUUAAAAAAAUAAUAAAUUAAC
rnacentral:lncRNA from 1 species